ACGGAUCCUUCGGGGUUAGUGGCGGACGGGUGAGUAACACGUGGGAACGUGCCUUUUGGUUCGGAAUAGCUCCUGGAAACGGGUGGUAAUGCCGAAUGUGCCCUUCGGGGGAAAGAUUUAUCGCCAUUAGAGCGGCCCGCGUCUGAUUAGCUAGUUGGUGAGGUAAAGGCUCACCAAGGCGACGAUCAGUAGCUGGUCUGAGAGGAUGACCAGCCACAUUGGGACUGAGACACGGCCCAAACUCCUACGGGAGGCAGCAGUGGGGAAUCUUGCGCAAUGGGCGAAAGCCUGACGCAGCCAUGCCGCGUGAAUGAUGAAGGUCUUAGGAUUGUAAAAUUCUUUCACCGGGGACGAUAAUGACGGUACCCGGAGAAGAAGCCCCGGCUAACUUCGUGCCAGCAGCCGCGGUAAUACGAAGGGGGCUAGCGUUGCUCGGAAUUACUGGGCGUAAAGGGAGCGUAGGCGGACAUUUAAGUCAGGGGUGAAAUCCCAGAGCUCAACUCUGGAACUGCCUUUGAUACUGGGUGUCUUGAGUGUGAUAGAGGUAUGUGGAACUCCGAGUGUAGAGGUGAAAUUCGUAGAUAUUCGGAAGAACACCAGUGGCGAAGGCGACAUACUGGAUCAUUACUGACGCUGAGGCUCGAAAGCGUGGGGAGCAAACAGGAUUAGAUACCCUGGUAGUCCACGCCGUAAACGAUGAUUGCUAGUUGUUGGGAUGUUUACAUCUCGGUGACGC
rnacentral:rRNA from 1 species